GGGGGCUCUCACAAAAAGACAAAGAAGAGAUCUUAUUAGUAAGAAAAAGUUGAACGGGAGAGGGAGAGUGGGCAAGGAAACAUUGGAAAUCUUUUUCUCUCUUCAACACAAAAACACAGAGCAUCACCCUAUUCUUGGUUUAUCAUCACCAACCAACACAAAACCCAUCCGUUACCGACAUCCCCACCCCCAUGUGAAGCUUUCCGACGGAUUCAUUUCCAAAACCGUCACCCACCGAACAAUAAGACCAUUCGAACCACCGCCACACACCACUUUUCAACUCCGGUGAAAACGACUCUGCGGUAACACAACGACAACAACAAUAGCUCAGCGGCUUGCAUCACCCACAAAUUUUUUUCGUUUCAACUUCGAAUCAAUAUUCGACGCCAUCAUUCUCUAAUUCAAGAGGAGAUUCGAAUUCGUGGUAAUGAGCGAGUUGAUUUCCAUUUCGUGAAUGCUUUUUUUUGUUUGUUUGUUGUUUGUUUUAUUUUUUUAUUUCGGUUGCAUAUUUCUCUCGAUCCCUUUAGUUUGGUGCUGUUGGGGUUUGAAACGUUCAUAUCGAUUUUGUUUGUUUUCAUUUUGAUUAUUAUGCUAGUGUUGGUGGAAACUUUGCAAUAUUUUUGUUUGUGUUAACGUACUGUUCAUACCGUGCCGGUUUCUAAAUGUUGAGUUGAUAAGCAGUGGAUGUAAUAAUUUUCUAAGCUCCAUGUUUUAUUUUCACCUGCUUUGAACUCCUUUAUGUUUGGUUAUAUAUGAGACGUAGGACUAGAGGAUAGGUAGCUUUUGUUUCAAUAAAAGUAUCAAACUGUUAAUCUUGGUAUUAUAGUAUUAGUUUGUGCAUAUAUAUUAUGAAUAAUUUAGAUAAUUGCUUUUCCUUGUUGUGUUGUGUGUGCUUCGUCCGUGUUGGCUAUUCGUGGAGGACACUGUGGCGACAAAAGAAAGAAAAUGAUAUUUGUGUUUAUUUAGUUUUGGAUUUCCUUUGUUCUUGGCGGUUACUUUAAUUCCCUUGUCUUUAUGAAAGUUGAAAAAAGUUCAAAUAGAUUUUUGUUAAUUUUCAUUUAUUUCACAUUUCAUUUAGAUUAAGGAUGAUUAAGAUUGCUAUUUGGGCUUGGUUUCACAUCUUAUUUUAGGCCCAUUAUUUUUUAGCCUUUGCACCUCCCAUAUUUAGUAAAUAAUCUUCAUGUUUUUGUAAAUAAAUUUGUACUGCUACUAUUUGAUUCAAUUGCAUUUUAAUCAAGACUUCAAUCCGUGGAUUCGGCAAUUCCAUGCCGUUAUGCCGCCCAAAUUUUAAUACAUCAAUAGAAUACUUUCACCACG
rnacentral:lncRNA from 1 species